CUGCGGGCUACUGACUAGGCGCAAAACUAGCUAACUAUGAGGAAGGGACAGACAUUUACUCCCUUGGCAUAAGUGACAGGAUCUGUUAUUCUGGCAGGAAGUGAUACCAUGGGGUGGGUAGGCUUAGGGACAGGAAAGAACAGCCUCCAAUUCUUGCUGGAAUGGCAGAAUUCCGGCAUGUCCUUGGAGAUCACCUAGUCCAGAAACAGUUUUAUUCGUUCAUGGAUUCACUCACUCUCUCAACCAACAUCCAUGGAGCAUCUGCGCUGGGCAGGAGACCUGCUAGGGGCUGAGCUGGCCCUGCGACUUCUUGAGGAUUGUUCCAGGAAACACACUUAAGACACCUGGGCUCAAGGACACUGACCUGUCCAGACGCGAACACGAUCCAGGUGGGGCCAAUGACUCAGUGCCCCCAUCCCAGCCCCAUCACACCAGGAAGAUGGAACAGAUGGACCACUGGGCCCAGGGUAAUCAGGGCUUGGAAUGGGGGCCUGAUUACCUGUCCAUGGAACAUUGAUUUAUAGGUCAUUCUUCUUCUCCUCCAAGACUCUGGAUUGCAGCUAAUUUACCGACAGUCUUAAAUCAUCCCCCAACAGGCAGUGGUGAAAUCCGAGGCACCGUCUAUCAUGGGCCUCCUGUAACCACUGCCUUGAUUAAAAUGAGGGUGGUGAGAAUAUCCUCCUUUGUGCCGAGGGUGGGGCUCACACAGGAACUGGCAGUGUCGUUUAUCCAGAGAUGGUGGCAGCCGACACACGGCUCACUUAAUUUCAUGUUUGACUGCUGACGGGUUUUCAUUUAUAGAUAAUAUAAACAGGUUGACAGGGCCCUAAUUAACUGAUUUGUGGUCCUUUGGGAACAAAAUGCUUAUUAAUAUUCAUAAACAUUUGUAGCACUUAGGCAGAUGCCCGGCCCUGACAUGAUCAUAAUAUGUCAGCAACAGUGAGCUCCCGUGAUAUCUGAUUUGUCCCUUUCCUGUGGACCCCAGAGAGCUUUGUCUGACCAUGGUCCCUCUCCAGGAGGUGGGUCCAGCUCUUGAUCCCGGCAUUAGUGCAUGAUUUACCAAUCACAUCUUGAACUUUCCACAAUCCUUUUUUCUCCCCAGAUGUCCUUGACCCAACCUUCCUCCAAUCCCACCCCUGAAUCUUUUUUGAGAUCAGCUGAGAACUUCCUCCUCCAGGAAGUCCUCCUGGAUUGAUCUCUCACUACAGUGAUGCCAUCUUUCCAUAUCAGAGUUACUUAGUGCAGUGUAAUUGUUUACAUGAGGGUAAUUGUUUGCUGUUUGAUGUUCUUAGGUUAUUUUAUCCAAGAAUGUUCUGCCUUAUGAACUUUCCUCAAAAUCAGGGAUAAAUCUAUUUCUUCCUUUAGCAGUAGAGCCUCACCUUCUGCAAUGCCAUUCGUGCCAUGGAAAUUAAAGAACAAACAAAACAGCAGCAGCUAGCAUCUACUGGACUCUUCAUUACAUGCCAGGAAAUACGCCAAGCCUCUUACCCGCUUUUUUCACCUCAGUACUGGGAGGCAGGUGCAAGAGUCUUCACCAUUUUCUAGAUUAAAAAACUGAGACGCAGAGAGGCCCAGUAACUCGCUCAAGACCACAGAUCAGUGAGUGGCAUAGUCAAAAUUAGUCUUAAAAAUUCCCUCAAGUACUCAUAAGGUCCAGUAUAUAUGGUCAAGUGCACUGACUUUAAAACUUUAUUUAACUCUAACGCGUAGCAUGAAAUGUAUCUUUCCCUGUGAUCUGGUACACACUCGUGCAUAGGCACACACACAUGUGGACAGACACACGUGAUGGAAUUGACAAGCCUCUUAAAGCAAUAUUUAUUAUAUGAUGUGUAAAAUAUCCUACUGUCUUCUCCCCUAUUCCAU